rnacentral:tRNA from 1 species
GGGUCCGCGUAGGCGGCGGUGACCGCCCGCUUGGGGCGCAGCCGGAGCCCGCCGGGCGGCUCGGUCUCCGGCGCGGGCCCG